rnacentral:rRNA from 1 species
CCUACGGGUGGCAGCAGUGGGGAAUAUUGGGCAAUGGGCGCAAGCCUGACCCAGCAACGCCGCGUGAAGGAAGAAGGCUUUCGGGUUGUAAACUUCUUUUGUCAGGGAAGAGUAGAAGACGGUACCUGACGAAUAAGCCACGGCUAACUACGUGCCAGCAGCCGCGGUAAUACGUAGGUGGCAAGCGUUGUCCGGAUUUACUGGGGGUAAGGGGCGGGUAGCCGGGUUGACAAGUCAGAUGGGAAAUCCUGCGGCUUAACCGCAGAACUGCAUUUGAAACUGUUGAUCUUGAGUACUGGAGAGGCAGACGGAAUUCCUAGUGUAGCGGUGAAAUGCGUAGAUAUUAGGAGGAACACCAGUGGCGAAGGCGGUCUGCUGGACAGCAACUGACGGUGAGGCGCGAAAGCGUGGGGAUCAAACAGGAUUAGAUACCCCUGUAGUC